rnacentral:rRNA from 1 species
UACGUAGGGUGCGAGCGUUGUCCGGAAUUAUUGGGCGUAAAGAGCUCGUAGGCGGUCUGUCGCGUCGGUCGUGAAAACUUGGGGCUUAACCCUGAGCUUGCGGUCGAUACGGGCAUGACUGGAGUUCGGCAGGGGAGACUGGAAUUCCUGGUGUAGCGGUGAAAUGCGCAGAUAUCAGGAGGAACACCAGUGGCGAAGGGCGGGGUCUCUGGGGCCGAAUACUGACGCUGAGGGAGCGAAAAG